UACGUAGGUGGCAAGCGUUGUCCGGAAUUAUUGGGCGUAAAGCGCGCGCAGGCGGUCCUUUAAGUCUGAUGUGAAAGCCCACGGCUCAACCGUGGAAGGUCAUUGGAAACUGGGGGACUUGAGUGCAGAAGAGGAAAGCGGAAUUCCACGUGUAGCGGUGAAAUGCGUAGAGAUGUGGAGGAACACCAGUGGCGAAGGCGGCUUUCUGGUCUGUAACUGACGCUGAGGCGCGAAAGCGUGGGGAGCAAACAGG
rnacentral:rRNA from 1 species